ensembl:miRNA MIR15A microRNA 15a
CCUUGGAGUAAAGUAGCAGCACAUAAUGGUUUGUGGAUUUUGAAAAGGUGCAGGCCAUAUUGUGCUGCCUCAAAAAUACAAGGAUCUGAUCUUC